rnacentral:rRNA from 1 species
CUGGGAGGACCAUCUCCUAAGGCUAAAUACUCUCUAGUGACCGAUAGUGAACCAGUACCGUGAGGGAAAGGUGAAAAGCACCCCGGAAGGGGAGUGAAAUAGAACCUGAAACCGUGUGCUUACAAGUAGUCAGAGCCCGUUAAUGGGUGAUGGCGUGCCUUUUGUAGAAUGAACCGGCGAGUUACGAUUUGAUGCAAGGUUAAGCAGUAAAUGUGGAGCCGUAGCGAAAGCGAGUCUGAAUAGGGCGUUUAGUAUUUGGUCGUAGACCCGAAACCAGGUGAUCUACCCUUGGUCAGGUUGAAGUUCAGGUAACACUGAAUGGAGGACCGAACCGACUUACGUUGAAAAGUGAGCGGAUGAACUGAGGGUAGCGGAGAAAUUCCAAUCGAACCUGGAGAUAGCUGGUUCUCUCCGAAAUAGCUUUAGGGCUAGCCUCAAGUGAUGAUUAUUGGAGGUAGAGCACUGUUUGGACGAGGGGCCCCUCUCGGGUUACCGAAUUCAGACAAACUCCGAAUGCCAAUUAAUUUAACUUGGGAGUCAGAACAUGGGUGAUAAGGUCCGUGUUCGAAAGGGAAACAGCCCAGACCACCAGCUAAGGUCCCAAAAUAUAUGUUAAGUGGAAAAGGAUGUGGCGUUGCCCAGACAACUAGGAUGUUGGCUUAGAAGCAGCCAUCAUUUAAAGAGUGCGUAAUAGCUCACUAGUCGAGUGACACUGCGCCGAAAAUGUACCGGGGCUAAACAUAUUACCGAAGCUGUGGAUUGUCCUUUGGACAAUGGUAGGAGAGCGUUCUAAGGGCGUUGAAGCAUGAUCGUAAGGACAUGUGGAGCGCUUAGAAGUGAGAAUGCCGGUGUGAGUAGCGAAAGACGGGUGAGAAUCCCGUCCACCGAUUGACUAAGGUUUCCAGAGGAAGGCUCGUCCGCUCUGGGUUAGUC